GUGCUCACUUCAGCAGCACAUAUACUAAAACUAGAAUGACACAGAGAAGACCGGCAUGGCCCUGCUCCAGGAGGACACGCAAAUCAGGGCAGCAGCCCCAUUUUGC
ensembl:snRNA U6 U6 spliceosomal RNA